UUUUGCAGAGUGCAAGACUGAAUGAGGAAGUAACGUGAAAACUCAAAAUACAAGGUUUGCUAUACGGGACGUCCCUACCCCAUUGAAGUUGAUAUUUAAACGGGUUACGGUAAGGUUUAGGUUGUGAGUUAAGGUUUAGUGUUUAUGGGCGUCCAAAGGAUACCGGAUUGCACUGACCAUAUAUUUCUGACAGGAAGAGAGACAAAAUCAAUGCGGAAGAUAAAAGCGUGUGUCUUUGGUUAACACUGUCGACGAGAUGUGAGCUAAGGAAAGGGGUUCCCCAAAACACCAGUCAGCAAAUUGGACCGCCGAUGACGACCGCCUGAAACGUCUCGUUUUUAUCGGACAGUGGCCGAAACAGAUGAAAACCUAUUGCAGUAUUGCACAAUAUUUAAUACACUGAGACUUGGACUCAAAAAUAGUAGGCCUACUGUAUUGAGAUGGCCAAGUUUGAUUGACAGCGGUUAAAUUCAAUCGUAGCGCCGUACAAUUUUGAUAACACCGCGUCGGUUGUGAACACGCUCACGUUCAUCAGUCGAAUGCCGAAGGAGAGAGAGAAGAGGAGAAAGGCCUCCAAGGAGGCAGGGCUGUCUGGCGCUGGUAUUAGUGAUGGGUUCGUUAAAGAGCGCAGAACAAGCCGCAGAGCAUCUGAGCUUCGCGAUGAACUCUGCCAGGUGAAAGAAGUAAAGUUAUCUGAGUUUAACACCACUCAAGUGCAAACUAGUAUGAUGGAGGCACUCCGUGUACCGCAGGUGACAAUAACCCCAGAUGGAGGCUGCGCACGGGAGAUCCAGCAGGAGGACUGGGCUGAUGUGGAAGGCUCUCUGCGACGGAAAUUGUCAAACUCCUCGAUCUCCUCAACAGGUUCCUCCAUCAUGUUGGAAGAGUCAGAGGAUGACAUUCUGAGUGACAACGAGACAAAGAGCAAGGGCAAUAUCACUUUAGAACAUUUGUGUGAGGACACGAGUGAACAGAGCAAACCCUGGUGGAAGAUAAAGACUAUUGUCAACUGGCCUUUUGUUUCCCCACAAAGAAGAAACCUGUCCUGGGUUCAACUAGCUGGACACAAAGGUAAAACACAGUCACCAUGGACGUGAUCCCUCACCUAUCACAGCAGCAUACCAAGAACCAAGCACUAAUGUAAGAUGAUGUGUACUGUACAUCUUCCACACAAAAUAAAGCACAUGACACAGACAGUACUGUAUACUACUAGCCACUUUGAUACAAUACUAACCCAUUACACACAAUGUCAGAUUCCAUCGGAAAAUGUCAGUCGUUAGUGGUUUGCUGUGGAAUGUCAGUGCUUAUCUUUUCCAGGUAAUUUCAAAGCUGGCGGCGAAGGCACCAUUCUGAAGAAGUUCUCUGAGAAUGAGAAGCUGUGUUUUGAGAGGCUGCAGGGAGACGUUCUCCAGGACUUUGUACCAGGAUAUUAUGGUGUGGUGGAGAGGGAUGGGGAUCCCUUCCUACAUAUGACUGAUCUACUAGUCAACUUUGAUAGACCCAGUGUCAUGGACUGCAAGAUGGGAGUGAGGACGUAUCUGGAGGAGGAGGUGGUGCGAGCCCGAGAGCGGCCUAAGCUCCGUAGGGACCUGUUUGACAAGAUGCUGGAGGUGGACAGUGAGGCCCCUAGCCCCCAGGAGCACCUCCAGAGGGCCGUCACCAAACCCCGCUACAUGCAGUGGAGAGAGACCCUCAGCUCCACACACACACUGGGCUUCCGUAUCGAAGGCAUCAAAGCAAAAAGCUGACGGGACGUGUCACACGGAUUUCAAGAAGACCCGGUCUAAGGAGGAUAUCACUCAGAUCUUCAGGGACUUUGCCACAAACAACACAAACAUACUAAAUUCCUACCUGAGUAAACUAGCAAAAAUUCAACAAGCCCUGAUGUCAUCGGAGUUCUUCAAGAGACACGAGGUGAUUGGGAGCUCCCUCCUCUUCAUUCAUGACCACACUGACCGAGCUGAGGUUUGGCUCAUUGACUUCGGCAAGACUACAGCUUUACCAGAGGGACAGACUCUGGACCACUCCAUACCCUGGCAGGAGGGCAACCGAGAGGACGGAUACAUGUGGGGACUGGACAACCUGAUGAGAACACUGGGCUCUUUGACUAACAAAGGAACUAGUGAAGGAAGUAAUGAGUGCCUUUAAGCUAUGACCACCUGGGAGGGAUUGGACUACCCCAUUCCAGUAGUUAGAGGACCCUGGCAGUAAUAUACAGUCUCAAGGGUCCCCUCAAUCACAAAGUAUACAUACUGUGUAAAUCAAACUUCCAGCUUAUUCAGCACAACAAAUUGUAUCUCAGCGUAUUGUUGAAGCUAUUGUAGCAUGAUGAUAAGGGAUUGCGUUUUUUAAAGUAUGUCUGUGCCUUUUGAACAAACUAUACAUUUUAGGGGAAUUUUAAUGAAUGCAAAUUAAUGAACAGACACAAACCUGUGAUUGUAGUGCCUGUAUAUUCUAGAAAGCCAUACAAUACUAUCGAUGUAAGGGACAGUAUUGCAUAGAAAUCCAACCCAUUCCAUAUUCCAAGGUGUCAUUAGAUUUGAUUGAUUUCAGUUUUUGAUAAUCAAGCAUGUUCUAUUUUAUUUUAUUUCUUUCCAAACUUUUUUGAAGACAUUAGACAUACUGUAUUCUAAUACAGUUACAUACACCAGUGCGUCUUUAGGAUCAUCUCAUUAUCAUGACGAAGGAUGAAUGAAAAAUGAAUCACGCAAGUAUUGUAGCAAGUAUUGUAUUAUGACAGUCCAUGAGACUAACCUCAGAAAAACACUAUGGCCUUGUCCCAAUGAGUUAGAAAUGGUUGUGUAUUGGGAGUUUUUUCACAUGUACAAGUAAAAAUAUGUCUUGCUGUAUUAUAAAACACUUAUCAAAACACAAA